GGUCGCUUAGCUCAGUUGGUUAGAGCGUGGUGCUAAUAUACGAUAUGGCACGCCAAGGUCGCAGGUUCGACCCCUGCAGUGAUCA